UCCGCACCAGCAAGAUCACGUGACUCAUGGCGAGUGUCAAUAAGGACAUUCUCUUGAUGUUUUGACACAGGUACAAUAGGCCUGGCAGUCACUAGUGGAGAUAAUAAGCAUGGAAUAUUUGAUUGGCUCCAACUGCUUCUAAUCAAACGUUCUUUGUUCCAGUCAUUCAUGUAACGCAAGCCCUAGCAGCUGACAGAGACAAGGAAUCUGGCUAUCUUUUGUUGGAUACAAUACCGUUAGACCAAUAGCCAACACGAUCAGUUUGGACGAGCAAGAAGUGAAGGAAAGAUCUCUCUCCUAUCUUCAACUCUGAAGGAACAUCCGAAACGUGUAAAACAUUUUACAAACACUAAAUAGCAGAGCCGGACUUAACCAGUGUGACCAAGAAGUCAUGGAAAGAGAACAAGUAAUCUACUAUGUAUAUUCACCCGUCACUUAAUAGCAGGGCCGGACUUAACCAGUGUGACCAAGCAGUCAUGGAAAGAGAACAAGUUAUCUACUAUGUAUAUUCACCCGUAACUAAAUAGCAAGGCCGGACUUAAGCAUUGUGGGGCCCUAUGCGAAACGGAUUUCGCGGGGCCAUGUUUGGGUAGAGAAGCGGAUAAUAAGUGAAAUUUAAGAGUUUGGAUUAGAAAAUAAAAUCGUCUAUGUAUUUUAUUCAUUCUUUACUACGUACAGAAUUACUUUACGAGCCUUGCGUGUAGCAAAGUCAUACAGUAUAUCAUGAUAAUUGUGUUUCCUACAUAGAUCACGCUCAAUAGCAAGAAUUACCAAAUGUUUCAAUCUAUCUUUGAGAAUUGUUGACCUCAAGUAAUUCUUUAUUAGUUUGAGGCGCGAGAAGCUUCUUUCACCAGAUUACACAAUUACGGCUAAUGCAUAAUGCCGUUUUUAUUUAUCGCG